AGAGUUUGAUCCUGGCUCAGGAUGAACGCUGGCGGCGUGCCUAAUACAUGCAAGUCGAGCGAACGGACGAGAAGCUUGCUUCUCUGAUGUUAGCGGCGGACGGGUGAGUAACACGUGGAUAACCUACCUAUAAGACUGGGAUAACUUCGGGAAACCGGAGCUAAUACCGGAUAAUAUUUUGAACCGCAUGGUUCAAAAGUGAAAGACGGUCUUGCUGUCACUUAUAGAUGGAUCCGCGCUGCAUUAGCUAGUUGGUAAGGUAACGGCUUACCAAGGCAACGAUGCAUAGCCGACCUGAGAGGGUGAUCGGCCACACUGGAACUGAGACACGGUCCAGACUCCUACGGGAGGCAGCAGUAGGGAAUCUUCCGCAAUGGGCGAAAGCCUGACGGAGCAACGCCGCGUGAGUGAUGAAGGUCUUCGGAUCGUAAAACUCUGUUAUUAGGGAAGAACAUAUGUGUAAGUAACUGUGCACAUCUUGACGGUACCUAAUCAGAAAGCCACGGCUAACUACGUGCCAGCAGCCGCGGUAAUACGUAGGUGGCAAGCGUUAUCCGGAAUUAUUGGGCGUAAAGCGCGCGUAGGCGGUUUUUUAAGUCUGAUGUGAAAGCCCACGGCUCAACCGUGGAGGGUCAUUGGAAACUGGAAAACUUGAGUGCAGAAGAGGAAAGUGGAAUUCCAUGUGUAGCGGUGAAAUGCGCAGAGAUAUGGAGGAACACCAGUGGCGAAGGCGACUUUCUGGUCUGUAACUGACGCUGAUGUGCGAAAGCGUGGGGAUCAAACAGGAUUAGAUACCCUGGUAGUCCACGCCGUAAACGAUGAGUGCUAAGUGUUAGGGGGUUUCCGCCCCUUAGUGCUGCAGCUAACGCAUUAAGCACUCCGCCUGGGGAGUACGACCGCAAGGUUGAAACUCAAAGGAAUUGACGGGGACCCGCACAAGCGGUGGAGCAUGUGGUUUAAUUCGAAGCAACGCGAAGAACCUUAC
rnacentral:rRNA from 1 species